GACAGAGGGUGCAAACGUUGCUCGGAAUCACUGGGCGUAAAGCGUGCGCAGGCGGUUAUGCAAGACAGAUGUGAAAUCCCCGGGCUCAACCUGGGAACUGCAUUUGUGACUGCAUGGCUAGAGUACGGUAGAGGGGGAUGGAAUUCCGCGUGUAGCAGUGAAAUGCGUAGAUAUGCGGAGGAACACCGAUGGCGAAGGCAAUCCCCUGGACCUGUACUGACGCUCAUGCACGAAAGCGUGGGGAGCAAACAGG
rnacentral:rRNA from 1 species